GCUGGUAAUGGACCAGCAGCAGCAGCUGGUAAUGGAACUGGUAAUGGAGCAGAAGCUGGUAACGUAGAGUGGAGAGGAGGAGGAGGAAAGCAGCAGAGACUGCCCGGGGGAAGGCAGAGAGUGGGGGAGGAUGGCAGGGGCCCCUCAGAAAUUGACAGGGGGGGAAAAUCCCCAACCCAUGGAUGUUCUCUUGGUUGUCUUUAAUAGAUAAACAAAGAGCAAGUGCGACUGAAAGAGCUUUACAGGUAACAACUCUGUAACACUGUUUGGAGAGUUUUGAAUUGGUCAUUACCAGCGAGAUCAAGGUAGUGCCCCUUGGCCUUGCUGCAUGUGGUGAACUGCUCCUAACACAGCCCAGCUGAACACAGAGUCAGGUGAAAUGAAGGCUGAAGAGAUAGGAAAAGUCUUUCUCAGCCUCAUAGCUAAAGACAGUUUAGUUUCCCCAAGAAGUCCCAUUCUACCUGUUGUGCAUUGGUUUGAUGCCAAAGCCAAACAACUGCCCCAGACCUUUCUAUUUUCUCAGCUUUGGUGUAAAUGAAUAUGAAUUGAGGUUGGAUGAGGCCUUGAGCAGCCUGUUGCAGUGGGAGGUAUCCCUGCCUAGAGCAGAGGGUUGGGACUGGAUGAUCCUUGAGGUCCCUUCCAACCUAAACCAUUCAAUGAAGUCUUUUAUCAGUCUUUUAUAGGAUUAGUGACAGUGGGGAAUGUUUGCUUGCUAUGAGAUGAGGGAGCUGUUUCCUAAAUGGAAUGUUCAUUAGUUCUUUAGCACCUGAAAAUGUUGGCAGGCUACUUGAUAAACCUCCUGGAACACAGGGGCCUGCUGAAUUGUUUUCCCAGUGCCUGAACAACUUACAGUGCUGUAAUGGGUUAGCCUCCUGUUUCCCUCCAACACAGAAGUGAGGCAAAAGUAACACAGCCAAGGAAAAACCCUCUGGGUUGAGAUCAAGAGGUAAAUACAAAAUGAGAUCCUGCAGUGCACAAUUACCUUAGCCUGUUUCUGUUUGCAGAAAGCAGGAGUCAGCCACCUGCCACCCAUCCCCUCCUGAUCCCAACCCCAGAAACCCAAAGCAGCACUUGGCACAGGAGGUCUCUCGUGUUGCAGUCUCACCUUCACGCCCUGGAAUACUUUGCUUCAGCCAGCAGCAUGGGGUUGGAUACCAACAGCAGAGUCGACUUAACCUGUGACUAAGUGGACUUUAAGUGUUUUGACUCCACAGUAGAACUUGAUAAAGAAAGAUGUGAAUGGAAGCAGGCUCUGACUGCUCUGUGUAACUGAUGAGAAGCUUUCUGAAGGAGGUGAAUUUGUUUUACAGCCCUUCACUCAGCUGGUUACAGAUCUUCAAGGUAGCUGCUGGUGCAGUGUCUGUUGGAGACUGUUAGCCACUCUGAAGGAGGGAGUUAGUGGAGCAUCAUAGGAACAUGUAGAGAGAUUGGUCAGUAAAAGGCAUUUGUGUUA